rnacentral:lncRNA from 1 species
CCUCUAUGUACACAAAAAAUGUAAAAUACACUAACUAACUAAAAACACCCUUUCUCUCUUACUUUCUCUUUAUAUCUCUUUCUUUUAUUUCUCUAAAAAAUCUAAUCUAAUUUUUUUUUUUUGUUAUUUGGCAAAUAAACCCUUUGAUGUACAGCAUUCAUGUUUGGCCCUUUGGGAAUUUGAAUUCUAUAAAUAUCAGUACUGGAAAAAUCAGUACGAGAGAGCUUUUUCUUAGCCACUAUAUUUUUUUCUAUUCAGUUGUUUCCACGAGACAACUAUGCUUUGAGAAAAUAUAUAACUAUUUAAGAAACUUUACUACGUUUCUUUUUUUUUUCUUUUUUUUUUUUUUGUAAAAUUUGAUGAACACCUUUGUCAUCGUUGAUGGGAAUUUCACCGUGCUAUAAUAAGCUUUUGUCACCAACCAAUAGAAUUUCAUUAUUUCAAAUUCGAUAUCUUUUAAAAAAGAAAACAAAAUAUUCUCAAAUUAUAUUAUGUUUUAAAAAAAAAAAAAAAAGAUAAUAGUUAGAAAAAAAAAGAAUUAAAAAAUAUAUAUUUUUAAUGUUCUCAACAAAACACUAAACCCUAAAUCCUAAUCCCUAAACUCUAAAUCCUAAACCCUAAACCCUUGGAUAAACCCUAAACCCUUGGAUAAAUCCUAAACCAUUGGGUAAACCCUAAACCCUUGGAUAAAUCCUAAACUCUAAAUAAAAAACACUAAAACCCUAAAUCCUAAACGCUUGAAUGUUUUAGUGUAUAGUGAUUUUGAUUUAGAGUUUUGGAUUUAUCCUAGAGUUUAGGGUUUAUCCAAGGGUUUAGGGUUUAAGAUUAAGGGUUUAGGGAUUAGAAUUUAGGGUUUAGGGUUUAAUGUUAUGCUGACGACGUAAAAUAUUUUUUUUGUAAUUAUUAUUUUUUUUUUUACUUUUUAAUUUUAAAAACAUAAUAUAAUUUGACAAUAUUUUGUUUUCUUUUUUAAAAGAUAUCGAAUAUAAAAUAAAACAAUCCUAUUGGUUGAUGAACCUAAGAAUAAGUCUUAACAAAAUGUACGUACUCUCUUCGAAAUUAUUAAACAAUUCAAACCUUCCAAGCUUCCUUUUUCUAACAAACAACAAAUUCGAGUGAACACUCAUUUUUAUCCAGUUUUCG